rnacentral:rRNA from 1 species
GUGAGUAACAUGUAGGUAUCUGCCCUUUGGCCUGUAAUAACACGAGGAAACUUGUGCUAAUACCGGAUAAGUCUUUACGGAGAAAGCUUUAUGCACCAUUGGAUGAGCCUGCACUUGAUUAGUUUGUUGGUGGGGUAAUGGCCUACCAAGACUGUGAUCAAUACCUGAUUUGAGAGGAUGAUCAGCCACAUUGGGACUGAGACACGGCCCAAACUCCUACGGGAGGCAGCAGUGGGGAAUCUUGCACAAUGGAGGAAACUCUGAUGCAGCGAUGCCGCGUGAGUGAAGAAGGCCCUUGGGUUGUAAAGCUCUUUCGUCGGGGAAGAAAAUGACUGUACCCGAAUAACAAGGUCCGGCUAACUUCGUGCCA